rnacentral:rRNA from 1 species
AUUGAACGCUGGCGGCGUGCCUAACACAUGCAAGUCGAGCGGUAACGCGGGAGCAAUCCUGGCGACGAGCGGCGAACGGGUGAGUAAUGCUUCGGAAUCUGCCCAAUGGUGGGGAAUAACCAGCCGAAAGGUUGGCUAAUACCGCAUAAGUCCUAAGGGAGAAAGCGGGGGAUCGUAAGACCUCGCGCCGAUGGAUGAGCCGAAGUCGGAUUAGCUAGUUGGUAGGGUAACGGCCACCAAGGCGACAAUCCGUAGCUGGUCUGAGAGGACGACCAGCCACACUGGGACUGAGACACGGCCCAGACUCCUACGGGAGGCAGCAGUGGGGAAUAUUGGACAAUGGGGAAACCCUGAUCCAGCGACGCCGCGUGUGUGAAGAAGG